GGAGGAGGAACUUUGAGGCGCAUGAAACAAAGACUCACUCCAGAAGCAGGAUCCUGGGGAGAGAGAAUCACUGCUGGGAGAGUUCUAAAGACUGGACAGUGCCAAUGUCUUUUCACAUGCUCACUUGUAAGAGAGGGACAUGUCUGCCUCAGGGCUGCAUCACAGGUUGGAAGCACAGCACAGAGAUGGAGUAAUGAACAUCUACUCGCUGCUGCAUGGACGGUGAGAAGAGUUGCCCUUUGUGCCACUGAUGAACAUUUCCACCCAUUGCAAAAUUGUUAUGUAUGGAAGAUACCAUCUGCAUCCAAAAAGUACAGACACAUGAAUCACAGAAUCAUUAAGGUUGGAAAAGACCUCUAAGGUCCCUGAGUCCAACAUUAACCUCAUAUGACCAUCUUCACCACUAAACCACACGCACAUGCCCUUUGAACACUUCCAAGAAUGGUGAUUCCACCACUUCCCUGGACAGCCCGUUUCAAUGCCUGACCGCCCUUUCCAUAAGAAAGCUUUCCUAAUAUCCCAUCUAACCUCCCCUGGCACAAGUUGAGGCCAUGUCCUAUUGUCCUGUUGUUUGUUACCUGGGAGAAGACACCAACACCCGCCUGGACAGAACUCCUUUCAGAUAGUUGUGGAGAGUAGUAAGGUCUCCCCUGAGCCUUCUUUUCUCCUGGCUGAACAGCAUCAGCUCCCUCUGCUGCUCCUCACAAGAGUGUGGUCUCAGUUCCAUCUAGUACUACAUCCAAGUUCGACAAACUGCCAAGUCUUGGUGUUUUGGGAGGAGCUGAUGAGAAAGUGGCGGCAUUCUAUCAGGAGUCCUGAAAAUAUAAAGAUGGGGACUUGCCUCUUUCCACCCCAGAGGAGGCCUGGUGAUGUCUCAGGUGGCCAAGCAGGACAGGGGGACCCAGUGGGGGAGACAUCUUCAUCCAGAAGGUGAACAAAAUCCCAGGUCUGUCCCUGCAGCAAGAACAGUAAAAUAUCCCAACAAUUCACAGGAUUGUUUUGGACAGACUAUACAACACCUCUAAUGUAGCUUGUCUGCAUUUUGUCUGAGCUAAACCACCUCAGAAGCUGUGGGGCAGCAGGCCCUGGUGGCUCCCAGUGGGCCACGGGCAGGCUGGGGACACUGGGGACAGCCCCUGGAUGGCAGGACAGGCUGGUGGCACCAGGGGCUGCACUAGCCCUGGCAAUUCCCUGGGUAUAAGGCCGGGCUCAGGCCGGGCACCAGCUGGGAACACGAGUCCAGAGGUAUGCCAGGCUUGCCGUGGCUGGGCAGGGCUGUGAGCAGCUGGAGACCAGUCCUGCCAUGGUAUUGCUGGGG